UAUUCAAAAUUUUUAUUCAAUAACCUGCGUUUUACAGUAAGUGCAGCCGUUGCAAGUAAGUUUGACGUGCUGGGAUCUCUGUGUGUCCGUCCACGUUUUGCUGGUGCAGUCCACUGGGAAUUACAGCUGCAGCGAUUUGUUUGGUGAAGUGUAAAUAUCAAUAAAGUUUUUUCUUGUGCAGUCAGGAUCACUUUGUGUGGCCGUUCACGUUCGCUGGUGCAGUUAUUUUCUCCACUGCAACCUUUGGUUUGGUUGAGUGCAGCCUUUGCAUACUUACAAGAUCAUUUGUAUGUCCGACGUUCGCUGGUGAGCGUAUUUUCACCACUGCAGCUUUGGUUUGGUCAAGUGGAGAAUUUGCAUACUUACAAGUCAAGAUCAUUUGUGCGCCCGUCCACCAAAUGUAAUUCAAUUUAAGAUAUUGAACAUGUAAUUUUUAAAUGCAAC